AUAUAUUCACAUAGUCUUUUUUUCUCUGUACCGGCGACUUUCAAUCCCUCCGACCGCCGGUGAUCCCUCGAUACUUUUGCGGCACUGGUGUGUAUUCUAAACUCUACUGAGGAGUAUUCUUUUUCUAUGUUUUGUACCGGCACGUGCCGAUCACGGAUCACGUCACCUCAAGCCCUAAUCUGACGCACUUUUUCUUUCCUUUUAAUCAAGUUAACUCUACUUUGAUCUGAUAUUAAUGUACUAUUUGUUAUUGCUUUGUUAUUUCAUUCAUAUCAUAGAGUCUUAUUUAUUUUUAUUGGAACUUUAUUAGUUCUAUGAGUUGCUUUACUGUGUAGAAGUUGUAUAUCUUUAUUAAAUUUACAGCAACCUAAGCAGUGUAUUAAACUACUGAAGAAAGUUUAAAUUUUGAUGCGCUAAAUGCGAAUGCGCUAAUCAGUAACUAUGAUUCUCAUUCUGCAUUGGUGAUGGAACGGGGAGCUUUUUUCAAAAAUUAAUAUUCUUAUUCUAAAUGCUGUUGAAUUCAACAUUUGAGCCCGGUGUACAAAUUUAUCUAUUGUAAUUCGGCUCUAUGAGUCAUUGUUGAAAUGAUAAUUGAUGGUGAAUGCUGCAAACCUCAUUAUUGGGAAUGAUACCUUGAGAUUCAGUAAAAAGUUUUGAAUCCCUUGGCUUUGGUCCGAUAGUAAGAUUGCCACACGUGAUGUGUGGAUUAGGCGCAUGUCAUAGGUUAGAACACUGCCGCAGACAGAAGCCUGGUAUUUAGGUGGAGAAGGGUAGAGGAACAAGCCCAUUAUCGACCAGGUUGUAGAUUCUGCACCCCUGGCCCUUGGGUAUUUCUUGGUUACUUAUUAAAAUAAUAAGAAGUUUUGAAACAUUAUGGUUAACAAUCCUUAAUGUAGGUAUGGUUCCUAACCAUAAUCUUUAGGAAGGAAAAUCUUACUUUUUCUUUGAUAAAGUAAUAAAGGAAGGAAGAUCUUACAUAAGAAGGAUAAUAUUAAAAUAAGGUCUGUUGUUAGAAAUAAGAUUAGGUGAGCUUCUAGUUUUGACAACUGAUUUCGUUAUCCAACAUUUAUGUAUCUUGUCUGAUCAUAUGGAAUCCUUAAUUGCAUUGAAAAGGAUGGAAUCUAAUGCCUUAAAAAUAAAUUUGAGAUUUGGUUGGGAUAUUUAAGGAAGUUAUUAAGAAAACUCUGUUCUGUAUAAACAGUAGAUUAUUUUCAUCGAGAUGGUUAACAAGACUGAUUAUUUGACAGCACAAAAUUUACCUCUUAGUUUCUCUUCUACUUCUGUCCACCUAUUCAAUAAGCAUACAUGGUAAGGAUCUUCAGGAUUUCAAGUUAGUUGAAGGGACUGGUAUACACUUCACAAUAAAGCGGUAAACCUUUUUCUUGUUGAGAUGUUCAAGGAAAUCCAGCUGUACCAAUAAAAGUCAACUGUACUUGGCUUUUAAGGAGAGACUGCUGCUCGAGAUCAAUUAGAUCUAUACUAUAGAAGGUGAAAAAUUGCCCUCAGGGCCUAGCUCAAGUGGCAAAGGGUGGUGAAUUUGUGUCUUAGGUCACAGGUUCAAGCCCCCACACCAUGCAAAGCAAAGCCUGGUAUUUAAGUGGAGAAGGGUAGAGGGGCGGGCCCAUUAUCCACCGAGUUUCGAAGGCUGCGGUUGGUCUAAAGGAUCGGCCCAAGACGGAUUUCUCGGUCAUCAAAAAAAAAAGAAGUACGAUUUUAUGAGCCAUUAACUGAGAAUACAUGUCAGUUGGAAAGCUCAGAAUAGGUGCUACUCCAGCUGCAAUGAAAGCCGAUGAGGGAAAUGAUUCGCUUGAUACUUUGAUUAGGCAAGCCAUAGGCAAGGAGCCUCUUUUUUCUUUUUCAAGAACAGGGGAUGGUCCUGUCCAGUGGUUUCAACUGCUUCAUGGUUUAGAGCAGCAAGAUAAUGCUGGUGGUUGGCCAAUGCUAACACCGUUAAAACUUCAGAAGUGUGAAAAAUGUUCUCGGGAAUUUUAUGCCCCUAUAAAUUAUCGGAGACAUAUGCGUCUGCAUCGUCGAGCUUUAAACUUUGAUAAGGAAUCUCGCAAAUACAGGGAUCUGCUGGGAGCAUUUUGGGAUAAGCUCUCAGUGGAUGAGAUUAAGGAAGUUGUAUCGUUGCAUGAUGUUUCAAUAAAGGACCUUGCUGGAUCUUCACUUGUUAAUGACCUGGCAACAUCUCUGCAAAAGAUGGCGAUUUGGGCUCAUCCUCAAGAUUAUUAUAAGGCUGGUUUAGCUUUGUUGGAAGUCAUCCAAGGUAAACCUUCCAAGCUUCCAAUUACCUCUCAGGAAUUAUUUAGCAUCCUUGAUGAUGCUAGCGAAACGACAUUUUUAUGUGCCGGCACAGCCGAGUCGGUGCAAAAAUAUGUUUUUGACGGGUAUGCUGCCAAAAAAGGUCUCGAGUUGAAAAACAUGGUUGCUUGCGCUAGCUUCCUUUUUGAACAGAAACUGGUAAAAGCAUGGUUCGCAGACAAAGAUGCUGAAGCUAUGAGAUGCCAGAAGUUGCUUUUUGAGGAGGAAGAAGCUGCUCAAAAAAGACAAGCUGAGCUGUUGGAAAGGAAAAAGCUGAAAAAGCUUAAGCAGAAGGAACAGAGAGCAAGAGAGCAAUCAAAUUGGGAAAGGGGAGAUUUGGAGGUACCUGCUGAUUCUUUUGAAGGUCCAAUAGCAGAAUCUUCUGUCCGUUCAGCGGCAGCAUCUGAAUCCAGUUCUAGUACUCCCGAAGUAUCUGCUGAUAUUUCCUCCUGCCUUGAACUUGUUCAUUUCUCUAACAAUGAAACUAUGGACAUUGAAGCCCACUAAAUAUCUCUUAUCCGCACCUGGAUCUGGUUGAAAUUCAGGAUGUUGAGCCCCCUCCAGUGUCUGCAAAUAGUCGACGGCAUUUCCCCCACACCCAGUGGCAAGUCGCAAAAUCACAAAGAACAGGGAGAAAUGGUUUUCGUAACAGCCAGAAUCAUGAAGUACAGAAUCUUGAACCAGUACAGAAGCAUGGAGUUAUUAAAGACCGAGGUGCCCCUGUUAAUGGCAGUAAGAUUUGGACAAGAAAAAUUAGAGUGCAAAAUGGUGAGCGCUUAAGGCUGGAUCCGCAGAAAGAGGCAGUUGAUCAAAAUCAGAGUAACUGUGAAGUGAUGAUUGGUUCUAUAUCUGUUCCAAUGAAAAAUUGCAGCACACAUGGACAGGGUAACUGUCCUGCUGUCGAAAGAGAUAACUUUGAAAGCACAGAGCCAGCCAUGCUACAAAAGUUAAAUCAUGUACAGAAGCCAGCAAAGCACGAUGUUCUUCAGGGUGGGUCAAAUGGAGCAGCUGUGAAGCUCUGGAGGCCUGUGAGCAGGCAUGGAAGUGGAGGACAAGAUCCUGGAGAGGAUGUGAUCUCUGUAAAGUUGGACAAUCGGACUUCCUCCACUGAAAAUAAUUUGCGAUUAUGCUCGAGGGACAACCCUACUGGCAAGAGUAAGAAUUACACAUGUCAAGUUUCAGAUGGAAAUGUUCUUCAAGGUCUGGGAUUUUGCAGUGUUUCUGCGAAAGCUUUUCUAUCUCAGAGAUGGAAGGAGGCAAUCUCGGGAGAUCAUGUUAGAUUAGUCCUUUCCGAUGACACUGAGGUUUCAGGACAGUCCGACACGCAAAAUGGCAGUUCAGAAGCAGCCCUGCCAUCAGCUGAUCAGGACCAUGGUAUUCUUGUCAAAGCUGACAACCAGCAGGCAAAUACUGCAGAUCUUAGUUUUUCGUCCAAUGGCAACAGUAAGGUCAAGUUUAGGCAGAAGCCUGACAAGUCUACUAAGAUAAAGUACAUACCAAAGCAAAAAAAAAAAAAACCAUAAUUUAGUAGGAUAAAGGUAUUUCAUGGUUAUAAUACCAGAUUGUGCACAGCUUUUACAGUCCAGCAGAGGUUCCGUUUUACCUGUGGUCUUCUGUCAAAGAGUUGAAGGAAGGUUUUCUAGAGUAUACAGUCCCAUUGUCGCUGCAUUAUGGCUAGAGUAUACAGUCCCAUUGUCGCUGCAUUAUGGCUAGGGUAGUUUUCUUUUUGCAGCUUCCAAUUUUUCUGUAAUAAGUUGGCUUUCUAAAUUUUUUGAUCUCAGUGCUCGUCAUUUUCUGCCGUUGCCGCUCAACUAAUCUCAUGUUUUCUCGGAUAAUAUGUGAAUAUAGGAUCAAUUGAUAAGAUAGUCCCAAUUAUUUACAGAACAAUUAGAUUAGCACUCACUCUGAGCUUCUUCUAAAUUAUUUUUGGUGCUUUUUUGGUUCAGUCAAAGACCCCACUUGUAUGAUUAUACUGAGUUUGUUGUUGUUUACUAAGGGAUAACCUUCUUGCUA